rnacentral:lncRNA from 1 species
UAUUUUGUGUUGGUAUUGGGGGAGGGGAUCAAAGUUUUGAGACGACUGACUUUCAACUAGUUCUUUUCCAUCGAGACGCUGGCCGAGAAGGUUACUUUAGUUAUUUCUGGGUACUUUCUUUCCCGACAUUGUUCUUCAUAAAAAAGGUUGGUGGAGAUGUUUCUCAAUGUGCCCAAGUCAGCAAGAUGCCUGUAAUUGUAUCAUAUUGUGAGAUGAAAAUGGGAAGAAAAUGGAAAUCUGAAAUGAUUCCUUUGUAGAUUUGGUGUUGAAGCUGUUAAUGGUGGUGAUUUCUGGUGUGCAGUGGUGUGGAAGUCAUUUUCUGAUUGAGAAAUGCACUGAUGUGAAGUUUCUGCAGACUUGCUGUUCAACUUCAGACUUCGAAAAACAAUGUUGGUGUUGAUGCAGUGUUGAGCUGUCUGAAAAAUAGUUCGUGUUGCCAGAUGACUUUCUGGUAUUUUGUUGGUGUGUUCUUCUGCUUCCUGUACACAUGUUGAGUUCAAUCGGACGCCGCCGUUUCAAACUUGAUCCACUGGUGAAGCUAAGGAGAAGUUGCUGUUAUCCAAGACUGAGAUUAUUCAGAUUUAGACAAAUUAAAAAUGCAAAUCUAUUGUCCUUUUUCCCUAAGUAAACAAAAUGACCUUAGUUGUGUGAAAACCAGGAAUGUUAUCAUGGAAUGGGGAAUUGUAAUGAAAUUAUAUAUUAUCUAUGAAAAAAGUUAAACCACAAACUGAAAUGUUCCAACACUUUCUGCUUUUAAUCAAUAACAUGAACUCAUUAAAAAAAUAAACCAUUGAAAUCAAAA